rnacentral:rRNA from 1 species
AGCCUGAACGCUGGCGGCGUGGCUAAGACAUGCAAGUCGUACGGACCCGCAAGGGUCAGUGGCGAACGGGAGAGUAAUGAAUCGCUAAUGUGCCCCGGACUCUGGGAUAGCUACCCGAAAGGGUAGGUAAUACCAGAUGAUAUACCUUUACCGCAUGGUAGAGAUCUCAAAGGUCCGCCGGUCUGGGAGCAGGCGAUUUCGUAUCAGCUAGUUGGUGAGGUAACGGCUCACCAAGGCGACGACGCGUAGCCGGACUGAGAGGUUGGCCGGCCUCAUUGGGACUGAGACACUGCCCAGACUCCUACGGGGGGCUGCAGUAACGAAUCUUCCGCAAUGCACGAAAGUGUGACGGAGCGACGCCGCGUGUAGGACGAAGCCCUUCGGGUGUAAACUACUGUCAGGGGUUAGAAAGUUCUGAUCAACCCCAGAGGAAGGCACGGCUAACUCUGUGCCAGCAGCCGC